CCUACGGGAGGCAGCAGUGAGGAAUAUUGGUCAAUGGACGAGAGUCUGAACCAGCCAAGUAGCGUGAAGGAUGACUGCCCUAUGGGUUGUAAACUUCUUUUAUAAAGGAAUAAAACGAGGUACGUGUGCCUUUUUGCAUGUACUUUAUGAAUAAGGAUCGGCUAACUCCGUGCCAGCAGCCGCGGUAAUACGGAGGAUCCAAGCGUUAUCCGGAUUUAUUGGGUUUAAAGGGUGCGUAGGCGGGUUGUUAAGUCCGUUGUGAAAGUUUGCGGCUCAACCGUAAAAUUGCAAUUGAUACUGGCAGUCUAGAGUACAGUUGAGGUAGGCGGAAUUCGUGGUGUAGCGGUGAAAUGCUUAGAUAUCAGGAAGAACCCCGAUUGCGAAGGCAGCUUACUAAACUGUGACUGACAUUGAUGCUCGAAAGUGUGGGUAGCAAACAGGAUUAGAUACCCCAGUAGUC
rnacentral:rRNA from 1 species